rnacentral:rRNA from 1 species
GAUGAACGCUAGCUACAGGCUUAACACAUGCAAGUCGAGGGACCGGCGCACGGGUGAGUAACACGUAUCCAACCUGCCCCUUACCCGGGGAUAGCCUUUCGAAAGAAAGAUCAAUACCCGAUAUAAAGGAUGGGGAUGCGUUCCAUUAGGUUGUUGGUGAGGUAACGGCUCACCAAGCCUUCGAUGGAUAGGGGUUCUGAGAGGAAGGUCCCCCACGUUGGAACUGCGACACGGUCCAAACUCCUACGGGAGGCAGCAGUGAGGAAUAUUGGUCAAUGAGCGUUUGCCUGAACCAGCCAAGUCGCGUGAAGGGUGAAGGCUUAUGGGUCGUAAACUUCUUUUAUAUAAAAAUAUGUAUUAAAUGAGUAAGGAUCGGCUAACUCCGUGCCAGCAGCCGCGGUAAUUC